AUCUAAGUAUGAAACUGAUGCUAUCCAGCGCACUGAGGAGCUUGAGGAAUCCAAGAAAAAGCUGGCUCAGCGUCUUCAGGAGGCUGAGGAGCAGAUUGAGGCAGUG